GUAGUUUCUCUCCAGGAGACCUGGAUGUGUGGAGGAGCUAAGUUAAGCUGCUGGAGAGUUGUGGAAGUGGUUAACACU
rnacentral:pre_miRNA from 9 species